rnacentral:rRNA from 1 species
UACGUAGGGUGCAAGCGUUAAUCGGAAUUACUGGGCGUAAAGCGUGCGCAGGCGGCUUUGCAAGCCAGAUGUGAAAUCCCCGGGCUCAACCUGGGAACUGCAUUUGUGACUGCAAGGCUAGAGUACGGUAGAGGGGGAUGGAAUUCCGCGUGUAGCAGUGAAAUGCGUAGAUAUGCGGAGGAACACCGAUGGCGAAGGCAAUCCCCUGGACCUGUACUGACGCUCAUGCACGAAAGCGUGGGGAGCAAACAGG